rnacentral:rRNA from 1 species
GACGAACGCUGGCGGCGUGCCUAAUACAUGCAAGUAGAACGCUGAAGGAGGAGCUUGCUUCUCUGGAUGAGUUGCGAAAGGGUGAGUAACGCGUAGGUAACCUGCCUGGUAGCGGGGGAUAACUAUUGGAAACGAUAGCUAAUACCGCAUAACAGUAGAUAUCGCAUGAUAUCUACUUGAAAGGUGCAAUUGCAUCACUACCAGAUGGACCUGCGUUGUCUUAGCUAGUUGGUGAGGUAACGGCUCACCAAGGCGACGAUACAUAGCCGACCUGAGAGGGUGGUCGGCCACACUGGGACUGAGAAACGGCCCAGACUCCUACGGGAGGCAGCAGUAGGGAAUCUUCGGCAAUGGACGGAAGUCUGACCGAGCAACGCCGCGUGAGUGAAGAAGGUUUUCGGAUCGUAAAGCUCUGUUGUAAGAGAAGAACGAGUGUGAGAGUGGAAAGUUCACACUGUGACGGUAUCUUACCAGAAAGGGACGGCUAACUACGUG